rnacentral:rRNA from 1 species
GCUUGUCUCAAAGAUUAAGCCAUGCAUGUCUAAGUAUAAACUGCUUAUACUGUGAAACUGCGAAUGGCUCAUUAAAUCAGUUAUAGUUUAUUUGAUGGUACCUACUACUCGGAUAACCGUAGUAAUUCUAGAGCUAAUACGUGCGCACAACCCGACUUCUGGAAGGGUUGUGUUUAUUAGAUACAGAACCAACCCAGGCUCCGCCUGGCCUUGAGGUGAUUCACAAUAACCGAACGAAUCGCAUAGCUGCCGCUGGCGAUAGACCAUUCAAGUUUCUGACCUAUCAGCUAUCGUCGGUAGGGUAUUGGCCUACCGUGGCAAUGACGGGUAACGGAGAAUUAGGGUUCGAUUCCGGAGAGGGAGCCUGAGAAACGGCUACCACAUCUAAGGAAGGCAGCAGG